rnacentral:rRNA from 1 species
UACAGAGGUCUCGAGCGUUAGGCGGAAUCACUGGGCUUAAAGCGUGUGUAGGCGGAUCGUUAAGUGCCUUGUGAAAUCCCACGGCUCAACCGUGGAACUGCUUGGCAUACUGGCGGUCUUGAGCAACCUAGGGGCGAGCGGAACAAAUGGUGGAGCGGUGAAAUGCGCAGAUAUCAGGAGGAACACCGGUGGCGAAGGCGGGUCUCUGGGCCGAAAUUGACGCUGAGGAGCGAAAGCGUGGGGAGCAAACAGG